rnacentral:misc_RNA from 1 species
UCUCCGUUGGUGAACCAGCGGAGGGAUCAUUACAGGACUCGCAAGACUCCUACAACCCUGUGAACUUAACUAUAAGCACGUUGCUUUGGCGGGUGUCUCGGAGGGGGUUCUCCCUCCCCGAGACGCUAAACCCGCCGGCAGCCUACUAUACUCUGUCUCUUUGCGUUGGCAUCUCGAGUACAAUCAAACAAGUUAAAACUUUCAACAACGGAUCUCUUGGUUCUG